AUAUGUUCAGAUGGGGGAUCGGCAUUUUUUUAACAUGUGGAUACCUACAGUAGUGAACGAUGCUUCUGCAACUUUUUAAAUUUCCCAUAUAAAAUGAGGGACCUUCCUUAGCCGAGUGGUGAGAGUCCGCGGCUACAAAGCACAGCCAUGCUGAAGGUGUCUGGGCUCGAUUUCCGGUCGGUUCACACUGAAAUAAAUCAGUAAGGCUAUUUUAUCGGAAAUUUCAUAUAGUAUUAAUCUGUCGAUCGACAUGUUUGUUUCAAGUUGUAUCCCAUACGCUCCAUAUGCUAAACAGGUUGAGUGUAACUGCAACCUUAUGUAUUUUACAAAGAUUCGUAUACGAAGAAUUUAUAUGCAAGUCAAAUGUACAGUAUAGGAAGAGAUACAAGGAUUGCAUAUAACCUUCACUAUAUUGUCCAGGUUGCACAUCACAUAUGCGCGAGUGUCAUGUAGGUAGUACCAUUUUCAUGUCAAAGCGGUAGAGCAAAAAGUGCUUAGUACGAAUCCACACGUUUUCAGGACAGAAUUUUGAUUUUUUGAAUUUGUAAUCCAACCGGAAAUGACCAGAUCCAAAGGUGACCGACACUGUUUUCAAACUAAAUCGGUAUCCGAUUCUCAAAGAUGUUCUAUGUCGGCAUUUCAUUUCAAACUGCAACCACAAUGAAAUUGACAAGAUGCCAAGAUGCGCUGGAGAAACUUUCAACUCUUAAGUUAAGGAGUGGCGGAUCGAUUUACUGCAACUAAUUAUAUAGUUCUUAAAUUUGUAUGUACAUUUAAUCUGAAGCAUGAAAAUAUGAGCAAAUUGAAAUUUAAUAAGUUUAAUAAUUUCAAAAAAAUAUGGUCUGGGUAUGUUCUUAUCGUAUUCAUAGAAUCCUAAUUUAAAUUACAUGUGAAGCAAAAUCAAACGAAUUAGAACUUCAUAUAAAAAGAA